rnacentral:snRNA from 1 species
AUUCUUACCUGACAGGGGAGAUGCCAUGAUCAUGAAGGUGGUUUGCCCAGGAUGAGGAUUGUCCACUGCACUCAGCAGAUAUGCUGACCCCUGAGAUUUCUGCAAAUGUGGGAAAUCUGAUUGCAUAAUUUGUGGUGGUGGGAGACUGUGUUUGUGCUCGACCCUG